rnacentral:misc_RNA from 1 species
AAUAAAAAUAUUGAACAUCCAAGUUUCCUUGCAAUACUGAUAAUGUAGGUUGCGUUCAUCUUCUUUUGCUCCUCAGUUUCUCCUUUUGUAACAAGGCUCCAGUUAACAGCUCGAGGGUGUACAGCACUAAGCAGCUCAAGGAAAAAGAUGCCAUCUGACAAACUCUUAUCCUUAAAACUAGCCAUGCGACUCUUGCUUCCUGAAUUUCUUACUUUGCUGUUGGACCACUCUAAG